CCUACGGGGGGCUGCAGUAGGGAAUCUUCCGCAAUGGGCGAAAGCCUGACGGAGCAACGCCGCGUGAGUGAUGAAGGUCUUCGGAUCGUAAAACUCUGUUAUUAGGGAAGAACAAAUGUGUAAGUAACUAUGCACGUCUUGACGGUACCUAAUCAGAAAGCCACGGCUAACUACGUGCCAGCAGCCGCGGUAAUACGUAGGUGGCAAGCGUUAUCCGGAAUUAUUGGGCGUAAAGCGCGCGUAGGCGGUUUUUUAAGUCUGAUGUGAAAGCCCACGGCUCAACCGUGGAGGGUCAUUGGAAACUGGAAAACUUGAGUGCAGAAGAGGAAAGUGGAAUUCCAUGUGUAGCGGUGAAAUGCGCAGAGAUAUGGAGGAACACCAGUGGCGAAGGCGACUUUCUGGUCUGUAACUGACGCUGAUGUGCGAAAGCGUGGGGAUCAAACAGGAUUAGAUACCCCUGUAGUC
rnacentral:rRNA from 1 species